AGGUAGAGCAAUGAGUCAGUGCUUUUGGCUGUUAACCAGAAGGUUGGUGGUUCAAGCCCACCCAGGGAUG